rnacentral:rRNA from 1 species
ACCUGGUUGAUCCUGCCAGGUAUGAUAUGCUUUUCUCAAAGACUAAGCCAUGCAUGCCUAAGUUCAUACCUUUACACGGUGAAACUGCGAAUGGCUCAGUAAAUCAGUUAUAAUUUAUUUGAUUGUACCGAAGCCUUGUGCUUCCACAUUGGAUAACUGUGGGAAACUAGAGCUAAUACAUGUCACCUGCUACCUCGGGGUAGCGCGCAUUUAUUCGCUCAAAAAACCAACACAUUAUCAGCUAGGCCUGGGUCAAUAGGUUGGCAGGCAAGCAAUUGUCUGUUGAUCUAUCCUGGUGUACGGUUGAGAUGUAUAUGGUGAUUCUGAAUAACUGAUGCUGAUCGUAUAGAGCCUUUGAGCUCACGAUAUUUCAAUCAAAUUUCUGCCCUAUCAUACCUGUUGGUAGGGUAGCGGCCUACCAAAGUGAUGACGGGUAACGGGGAAUCAGGGUUCGAUUCCGGAGRGGCAGCCUGAGAAACGGCUACCACAUCCAAGGAUGGCAGCAGGCGCRCAAACUAUCCAAUCCAGAUAAUGGGAGAUGGUGACGAGAUAUAUUGGAACUCACUGGCUUUGCCGGUCGAGUUACCAGAUAGGCCUUAAUCUAAACCAAUAAUGAUUAUUCAACGGGAGGGCAAGUCUGGUGCCAGCAGCCGCGGUAAUACCAGCUCCUGUAGCAUAUAUGCUCGUUGUUGCGGUUAAAAAGCCCGUAGUUGGAUUACGGUACGCUCGAAAGGUGGUUCAGCUAUAUGGCUGUCUGCACRUAGUGUUGUACAGUUUUGGGUGGUGAGUGUAUGUCUCUAACCUAUUACCACAGUGGGGCUAUUGAGUAGUUGGGUGAAAAUUCAAUUGCUUAAUAGUCACAUUGUGGGUCAAUGGUAGGUUCAGAUGGCACAUUUAUCAUCGUAUAUAUGGUUGAAACGUCAUUAGAGCGUGCUUUCUUGUCCAGCUCAUGUGAUAUCCUUAAUUGGCUACAUGUGAGGCUAGGCAAAUUGUGCCUUGAGUAAAAUAGAGUGCUCCAAGCAGGCAAUGAUUGUAUAAAAACUAUCAUAGCCAGAAUACYCCAGCAUGGAACGAAUGUUCAAUUGCUUAAACAACCCCACAUACCUAGUUAGUUGGUUCACACUGGUGUCAGGGUUAAACCUGGUGUCAGGGUUCUAGGUAGUGUCCAUAGARUAGUGUACCCAGUUGGUGUUGAGUGAGAAGUAGGAUUCACAUGUGUGAUGGCAAGAGCAUUCGACCGAGGAUGCCUCCUAUUUUGUUGCUCCCUGAUUGGGAUAAAAUGCACUCUCUAUGUACGGGUAUCGGUUAACAGAGACAUUUGGGGGCAUUGGUAUUUGGCCGCGAGAGGUGAAAUUCUUUGACCGGUCAAAGACUAACAACUGCGAAAGCAUUUGCCAAAGGUGUUUUCAUUAAUCAAGGACGAUAGUUGGAGGAUCGAAGACGAUUAGAUACCGUCGUAGUUCCAACUGUAAACUAUGCCAACCAGGACUCAGUCCGGAUCAUUUAUAUUUAUCAAUAUAUCACGGAUCCAGGUUGGGUCCCCAGGGAAACCUAAAGUUUUUGGGUUCCGGGGGGAGUAUGGUCGCAAGGCUGAAACUUAAAGGAAUUGACGGAAGGGCACCACCAGGAGUGGAGCCUGCGGCCUAAUUUGACUCAACACGGGGAAUCUCACCAGGUCCGGACAUCGGAAGGAUUGACAGACUGAUAGAUCUUUCAUGAUUCGGUGGAUGGUGGUGCAUGGCCGCUCUUAGUUGGUGGAGUGAUUUGUCUGGUUUUAUUCCGAUCACGGACAUGACUGAGUUCUCUAUUUUGGCCGUAUGAAAGUUUACAUUCGUGAACCUGUUAGGUACACAAAAAGUUUAGCACUAUCGGCUGCAAUGAAUCUGUUGCUUCGGUGAGUGAUGAAGAAGGGUGGUAGUUCAGUUUACAACUUGUAUCAGUAGCUUGUGAAUUGGGAUUUGAGUUCUAGCUAGCAGUAAAGAGAUGGUGUCUAUGACGGAACAUCAAAACUCUUGCUGUACUCCUCAGACGAAAGUUCAUGAGAGAUUGAUGCAGGGCUCUUUGGAGUGAUUCAUCGGUGGUGGGUCUUUGUAGAAGGUAGUGUUGAAUGUGCCUGCAGGCCGGAUAGUGUUCGUGCGCCUUCAUAGAGAGACAACCUGUGGCAAGCAGGGGGAAGUACAGCAAUAGCAGGUCAGUGAUGCCCUUAGAUGUCCUGGGCUGCACGCGCGCUACAAUGGUAACGACAGCGAGUUUCUGUACUGAAAAGUAUGGGUAAUCUUAUUAAUCGUUACCGUGCUGGGGAUUGAGCCUUGAAAUUAUUGCUCAUGAACCUGGAAUUCCUCGUAAGUACGAGUCACCAGCUCGUGCUGAAUACYUCUCUGCCCUUUGUACACACCGCCCGUCGCUACUACCGAUCGAAUGACUUGGUGAGAACAAGGGAUUGUUCGACUCCAUUUUGUGUGUUGGACGAGAGCCUGUUCGAACUGCKUCACUCAGAGKAAAGUAAAAAGUUGUAACAAGGUUU